rnacentral:RNase_P_RNA from 1 species
CGGGUGAGCCGGGUGAUCGCCCCGAGGCAGUUCAUCGGGGAGGAAAGUCCGGACUCCCAGGGCAGCGCGCUCCCUGAACCUUCCCGCAUUGCGGGAGGGAACGAAGGGAGGCUCCGAGGGCUACAUCCCUCGGGGACGGACAGUGCCACAGAGAAGGAACCGCCGCCGUGCCGGUCCGGCAACGGAUGCGUCCCGGGUAACGCCCGGGACGACGCCCGGCGGUAAGGGUGAAAAGGUGGGGUAAGAGCCCACCGCCCCGACAGUGAUGUCGGGGGCGAGGAAAACCCCGCGCGGAGCAAGACCAAAUAGGGGAGAAGGGCUAGCCCGGCCCAAGAUCCUGCGCAAGCGGGGUCGUGACUCCCGGGUAGGUCGCCCAGAGGAAUGAUCACCUCCCGAGGGCGCGCAAGCGCCCUCGGGAACAGAAUCCGGCUUACAGGCUCACCCGCCAC